UUUUAUUUCAGAUGAAUCUGUUACACAAGUGGGAAAGCAUUCCAGGACGGAGUGUGUGUCUGGAAGCCCUGUCCGUCAGCAGAUGCCUCCACCACCUGCAUAUGAGUCAACACCACACAGAAAACCAGCCGGUCGCCCAGAAUUUGAUGGGUCUAGUG